rnacentral:ncRNA from 2 species
GCAGUUAAAAAGCUCGUAGUUGAA